rnacentral:rRNA from 1 species
UACGUAGGGGGCAAGCGUUGUCCGGAUUUACUGGGUGUAAAGGGUGCUCAGGUGGCUUGGAGAGUCAGUGGUGAAAUCUGAGAGCUUAACUCUCAAACUGCCAUUGAUACUUCUUAGCUUGAGUACGGAAGAGGCUGAUGGAAUUUCAGGUGUAGCAGUGAAAUGCGUAGAUAUCUGAAAGAACACCAGUGGCGAAGGCGGUCAGCUGGUCCGUUACUGACACUAAAGCACGAAAGCGUGGGUAGCAAACAGG